CGCCCUUAGAGUUUGAUCCUGGCUCAGGAUGAACGCUGGCGGCGUGCCUAACACAUGCAAGUCGAGCGAAGCACAUGAAUACUAUUCUUCGGAUGAGGAUUCUUGUGACUGAGCGGCGGACGGGUGAGUAACGCGUGGGCAACCUGCCUUACACGGGGGGAUAACAGUUAGAAAUGACUGCUAAUACCGCAUAAGACCACAAAACCGCAUGGUUUGGUGGUAAAAACUCCGGUGGUGUAAGAUGGGCCCGCGUCUGAUUAGGUAGUUGGUGGGGUAACGGCCUACCAAGCCGACGAUCAGUAGCCGACCUGAGAGGGUGACCGGCCACAUUGGGACUGAGACACGGCCCACACUCCUACGGGAGGCAGCGGUGGGGAAUAUUGCACAGUGGGGGAAACCCUGAUGCAGCGACGCCGCGUGAGCGAUGAAUUAUUUCGGUAUGUAAAGCUCUAUCAGCAGGGAAGAAAAUGACGGUACCUGACUAAGAAGCCCCGGCUAACUACGUGCCAGCAGCCGCGGUAAUACGUAGGGGGCAAGCGUUAUCCUGAUUUACUGGGUGUAAAGGGAGCGUAGACGGCUUGGCAAGCCAGAUGUGAAAGGCUGGGGCUCCCCCCCAGGACUGCUUUUGGAACUGUCAUGCUAGAGUGGUCGGAGAGGCAGGCUUAAUU
rnacentral:rRNA from 1 species